GACGGAGGAUGCAAGCGUUAUCCGGAAUUAUUGGGCGUAAAGCGUCCGCAGGUGGCUGUUCAAGUUUGCUGUCAAAGCGCAGAGCUUAACUCUGUACAGGCGGUGGAAACUGAAGAGCUAGAGUAUGGUAGGGGUAGAGGGAAUUCCCGGUGUAGCGGUGAAAUGCGUAGAUAUCGGGAAGAACACCAGUGGCGAAAGCGGGUCUCUGGGCCGAUAUUGACGCUGAGGAGCGAAAGCGUGGGGAGCGAACAGG
rnacentral:rRNA from 1 species